rnacentral:rRNA from 1 species
CCGGCGACCGGCGCACGGGUGAGUAACACGUAUGCAACCUGGCCGUGACAGAUGGAUAACCGGGAGAAAUCCCGCCUAAUACAACAUAAUGCCGGGAGGGGACAUCCCCUGCCGGUCAAAGGGGGCGACCCCGGUCAUGGAUGGGCAUGCGGCGCAUUAGGUAGUUGGUGGGGCAACGGCCCACCAAGCCGACGAUGCGUAGGGGUUCUGAGAAGAAGGUCCCCCACAUUGGAACUGAGACACGGUCCAAACUCCUACGGAAGGCAGCAG